rnacentral:rRNA from 1 species
GACGAACGCUGGCGGCGUGCCUAAUACAUGCAAGUCGAGCGGAUCGAUGGAAGCUUGCUUCCUGAGAUCAGCGGCGGACGGGUGAGUAACACGUGGGCAACCUGCCCCUAAGAUCGGGAUAACUUCGGGAAACCGGAGCUAAUACCGGAUAGGACUUUUCUUCACAUGAAGGGGAGUGGAAAGACGGUUUCGGCUGUCACUUAGGGAUGGGCCUGCGGCGCAUUAGCUAGUUGGUGAGGUAACGGCUCACCAAGGCGACGAUGCGUAGCCGACCUGAGAGGGUGAUCGGCUACACUGGGACUGAGACACGGCCCAGACUCCUACGGGAGGCAGCAGUAGGGAAUCUUCCGCAAUGGACGAAAGUCUGACGGAGCAACGCCGCGUGAGUGAAGAAGGUUUUCGGAUCGUAAAACUCUGUUGUCAGGGAAGAACAAGUACCAUAGUAACUGAUGGUACCUUGACGGUACCUGACCAGAAAGCCACGGCUAACUACGUGCCAGCCGCCGCCGUAACAC